UCCAUUUCCCCCCUCCCCCCUUUUCUCUCUUGUCUGCGUUUAUGCGGGAAUGGGCUGUGUUUGUCGACAAUUUGGGUGACCUAAAAAAAAUCCAAUCAAAUCGAACAAACUUGUAUUGAGAGGCCGCGACUACCUGUCAAGCGCUACCAUCAGGUACGAGCGACGCAAAAAAGAAUGACGCCAGCUCUUGCCACUGACCAUUUCAGGGUGGCUGAAGGCCUAGUAGUUGAUAGAAGAUACGGGCCUUUUGUCAAUUAGCGAAAACCUCGGAUGCCGGUGGAGUUGGUUCUUCUAUAAGCUACAAGCCAGGAACGGAGUCUUUAAAAAAAGAAGGAAGAUGUAAACAUUCGGUGGAAAUAACCUCACCAGAUAUCAGCUAUCACUGCUUCAAAGAACAGACUCAUGGGUGCACACUUCCAAGCCAAAGCUGACAUUGCUUAGAGAACUGUCAGAUUUCCGGGAUUCUGUUUUUUUUGUUUUUGUCUGGAAGCAGAUUACUUCAUGAGAUCAGACUGUUAACCGACGAUUCAGUGGAGGACAAAGAGUUAAUUGAGGAGGAAUGAAUGACCUGUUAGAUGAAAUAUACUUGUGAUUAUCUGUUUAGAGCAUUUUGGUAAUUUAAAAAAUAUUCUAUCUGAUAGACAUAUGAGGAAGCCCUUUCUCUUCUUGAUCUGUCUCUAACGCUCAAUUUAGUAGACUGCCUUUGCAAAUGGAAAUAAAAUAUCCCUUAAAGUGUGAAAA